CAGGACACCUUGUGACUCAGGGCCCAGCUGAUGUCAAAAAAGUCCUGGCACUGCACCCCCGCCCCCCCACCAGGGAGACUGUAAAUAGAAAGCAGCGGGACACACCCCCUUCGCCGGGCUGUGUGAUGGGGGAAGGGGUCAAGGAAAGGAGAAAGCCAGAAGAGAGGCUGGAAGAGAACAGAGAUCUGGAAAACAGAGACGGGGGAGACGAGCCUGCAGGUUCGAGCAGCUGGAAAAGGGUGGGGAGCUGACGGCCCUGCGGACCGGGUCGGAGAAACUGACAGAGGAAAAUGGAAACCCAUGAAGAGUGGGAAGCGAAGACACCGACAGACGGAAGGAGCAGAGAGGCUGAAAGGAGCGAGGCCGAGACGGGCCAGGCGGCCCCCAGUGUCGCAGGUGCUGAUUCCAUAAUCUGGUAAACCGACCCCAUUGGCUGAAGGUGGAGAUUUGCUGACCUUUAACUGUGGAGUCAGGAUGAUAUGAAGCCCAGAUGAUGUGGAGCCAGAAUGACUAAACCAGGACGACGCACACUGGACCAUCACUUGCCUUAUUGGAAUGGACUAUGCUAGUCUGCAUGUAGACAACUUUUCAAUCCCCUUCCCUGUUCUUUUUGUUCUGUUCCCCUCUCCCUCCUUAUAAAAACC